rnacentral:rRNA from 1 species
UGCCAGCAGCCGCGGUAAUACGAAGGGUGCAAGCGUUGUUCGGAUUUACUGGGCGUAAAGCGCGCGCAGGCGGAUCGAUAAGUCAGAUGUGAAAUCUCGGGGCUUAACCCCGAAACUGCGUCUGAAACUAUCGAUCUAGAGUCUCGGAGAGGGAUGGGGAAUUUCCUGUGUAGGGGUAAAAUCCGUAGAGAUAGGAAGGAACACCAGAGGCGAAGGCGCCAUCCUAGACGAGUACUGACGCUGAGGCGCGAAAGCGUGGGGAGCAAACAGGAUUAGAUA